GUCCUAGCUUCGGCUGGACAUAUACUAAAAUUGGAACGAUACAGAGAAGAUUAGCAUGGCCCCUGCGCUAGUUAAUUACAUAACAAAACAAACUUAAGAAGUGAUC
rnacentral:snRNA from 1 species